rnacentral:rRNA from 1 species
GACACGCUCGACGGUAUCACUCGAGGCACGGAGCCGCGAUUCGUUCGCAUCCGACUGUCCGCAAGCGCGGCCGGUCUCCCGGCUGUCGGAUCUGAUGCCGGCACCGGGACCGGACGGCUGCUGGCGGGCACGUUCUCGGAUAGACUCCGAUUCACGCCUAUCGGCGGUAAUCUCAGGACCCGUCUUGAAACACGGACCAAGGAGUCUAGCAUGUGCGCGAGUCAUUGGGACUUGUAAACCUAUUGGCGAAAUGAAAGUAAAGGCCGCCUUGCGCGCGCCUAGGGAAGAUGGGUCGCACCGCGGUGCGGCCCCGCACUCCUGGGGCGUCUCGUGCCCAUUGCGGGCUGAGGCGCACCGAGAGCGCAAAUGCUGGGACCCGAAAGAUGGUGAACUAUGCCUGGUCAGAACGAAGUCAGGGGAAACCCUGAUGGAGGUUCGUAGCGAUUCUGACGUGCAAAUCGAUCGUCGGAACUGGGUAU